rnacentral:rRNA from 1 species
CCUACGGGAGGCAGCAGUGAGGAAUAUUGGUCAAUGGCCGCAGGGCUGAACCAGCCAAGUCGCGUGAGGGAUGACGGUCCUAUGGAUUGUAAACCUCUUUUGUCAGGGAGCAAAGGGCGCCACGUGUGGCGCUUUGCGAGUACCUGAAGAAAAAGCAUCGGCUAACUCCGUGCCAGCAGCCGCGGUAAUACGGAGGAUGCGAGCGUUACACGUAUUUAUUUGGUUUAAAGUGUGCGAAGGCGGAAUGUCAAGUCAGCGGUAAAAUUUCGGGGCUCAACCCCGUCGUGCCGUUGAAUCUGGCGUUCUUGAGUGAGCGAGAGGUAUGCGGAAUGCGAGGUGUAGCGGUGAAAUGCAUAGAUAUCACGAAGAACCCCGAUUGCGAAGGCAGCCUGCCGCAGCGUUACUGACGCUGAAGCUCGAAAGCGCGGGUAUCGAACAGGAUUAGAUACCCUGGUAGUC